GGGGCUGACCUGGUUUUGACAGCAAGUAGAAUGGGUCUGUAAGCAUGUCGAGCGUGGUGAUGCUGGCUCGUAAAUCCCAGAACACAAACUAUAUACGGCGAAUCAAAUUACGCUCUUGCUGCUUAAUCCGCUAUGCGAAUUAGCUUAAUUCCUUGCCCUAGGCGGUAGGGAACGAGAUGUCUCACCGAAAACUCCUCCCUGUUGUUUUCGGUAUAUGGGGCACCAAACUAACGGGGAUAGCUAGGGCAGACACCUCUAACACCCGGCGAAACACUAGAGGAUAAGGGUUGGUUCGGUCGCAUUUCGCCUGUCUAACCUCGAAAAUCAAGAGAUGCUAAGCAUGUAGAACGCAGUCUGGUUCCUUGUUUGGACGAGGGUUCGACUCCCUCCAGCUCCACAA
rnacentral:tmRNA from 1 species